rnacentral:rRNA from 1 species
UACGUAGGGUGCGAGCGUUAAUCGGAAUUACUGGGCGUAAAGCGUGCGCAGGCGGUUUUGUAAGCCAGGUGUGAAAUCCCCGGGCUUAACCUGGGAAUGGCAUUUGGGACUGCAAGGCUUGAGUGCGGCAGAGGAGACUGGAAUUCCUGGUGUAGCAGUGAAAUGCGUAGAUAUCAGGAGGAACACCGAUGGCGAAGGCAGGUCUCUGGGCUGACACUGACGCUCAUGCACGAAAGCGUGGGGAGCAAACAGG